AGUGAACGCUGGCGGUAGGCCUAACACAUGCAAGUCGAACGGCAGCACAGUAAGAGCUUGCUCUUACGGGUGGCGAGUGGCGGACGGGUGAGGAAUACAUCGGAAUCUACUUUUUCGUGGGGGAUAACGUAGGGAAACUUACGAUAAUACCGCAUACGACCUACCGGUGAAAGCAGGGGAUCUUCGGACCUUGCGCGAAUGAAUUCGCCGAUGUCGGAUUAGCUAGUUGGCGGGGUAAAGGCCCACCAAGGCGACGAUCCGCAGCUGGUCUGGGAGGAUGAUCGCCCACACUGGAAGUUGGACACGGUCCAGACUCCUACGGUAGGCAGCAGUGGGGAAUAGUGGACAAUGGGCGCAAGCCUGAUCCAGCCAUACCGCGUGGGUGAAGAAGGCCUUCGGGUUGUAAAGCCCUUUUGUUGGGAAAGAAAAGCAGCAGGUUAAUACCCCGCUGUUCUGACGGUACCCAAAGAAUAAGCACCGGCUAACUUCGUG
rnacentral:rRNA from 1 species